UCGGAUGGGAUUUCCCCGGGCUCAAGCUGGGAACUUCAUUCGUAUCUUGCAGGGUUGAGUCUUGUUGAGGGUGGUUGAAUUCCAGGUGUAGCGGUGAAAUGCGUAGAGAUCUGGAGGAUUACCGGUGGCGAAGGCGGCCCCCUGGACUAAGUCUGACGCUCAGGUGCGAAAGCGUGGGGUGCAAACAGGAUUAGAUACCCUGGUAGUCCACGCCGUAAACGAUGUCUACUU
rnacentral:rRNA from 1 species